AUAUGGCAGCGGCGCCUCCCGGCGGCGGCGGCGUGUGCUGAGCCGCGGGUGUCCCGCGGGCUCCGGACCCGCCACCCCCGGGCACCCAUCGGACACACAGCGCCCAUCGCGCACCCACCGCACGCCGCCCGUCGCACGCCGCCCCGCAGGCUUGCCAAAGUGCGAAGAUCCCUCUGUGAAAAUAAGCUUUCCCUUAAACUGCUAAUGAAAUUCCGUCACUAACGAACAGCGUGUUCCAUUAAAUGAAGGCUUCAGAAAGCUGCGAGAUUGGCAAAACCCAGUUUUCCUUUGGCCAUUUGUGCGUGUUUGGAGGUACCUGCUGGGGCAUGAGGUGAAGUUGAGCUCAGCCUGGUGCAGCUCCCCGGGGAGGCUCCUCGUGUGUUCCACGGCCGCCCCAGGACUCCUCUCCAGACCCUUCUGCUGAGGAGAAACCAACUGGAGGAACUGUGAAGGCUGAAGUCUGUUGUCGAUGGGACUGCACAGAGGGAAAACUCAGACCUUCUGCUUUCCAGGGAUCCCUCUGCAGACUGUGCUGUCAAACUCUCCUUCCGGAGCUGCUGCGUUCACCUAGAAGCUGUCAGACCUUUGGAAAACAAGAGACCUUG